rnacentral:rRNA from 1 species
GGUUAAGCGACUAAGCGUACACGGUGGAUGCCCUGGCAGUCAGAGGCGAUGAAGGACGUGCUAAUCUGCGAUAAGCGUCGGUAAGGUGAUAUGAACCGUUAUAACCGGCGAUUUCCGAAUGGGGAAACCCAGUGUGUUUCGACACACUAUCAUUAACUGAAUCCAUAGGUUAAUGAGGCGAACCGGGGGAACUGAAACAUCUAAGUACCCCGAGGAAAAGAAAUCAACCGAGAUUCCCCCAGUAGCGGCGAGCGAACGGGGAGCAGCCCAGAGCCUGAAUCAGUGUGUGUGUUAGUGGAAGCGUCUGGAAAGGCGCGCGAUACAGGGUGACAGCCCCGUACACAAAAAUGCACAUACUGUGAGCUCGAUGAGUAGGGCGGGACACGUGGUAUCCUGUCUGAAUAUGGGGGGACCAUCCUCCAAGGCUAAAUACUCCUGACUGACCGAUAGUGAACCAGUACCGUGAGGGAAAGGCGAAAAGAACCCCGGCGAGGGGAGUGAAAAAGAACCUGAAACCGUGUACGUACAAGCAGUGGGAGCCUCUUUUAUGGGGUGACUGCGUACCUUUUGUAUAAUGGGUCAGCGACUUAUAUUCUGUAGCAAGGUUAACCGAAUAGGGGAGCCGAAGGGAAACCGAGUCUUAACUGGGCGUUAAGUUGCAGGGUAUAGACCCGAAACCCGGUGAUCUAGCCAUGGGCAGGUUGAAGGUUGGGUAACACUAACUGGAGGACCGAACCGACUAAUGUUGAAAAAUUAGCGGAUGACUUGUGGCUGGGGGUGAAAGGCCAAUCAAACCGGGAGAUAGCUGGUUCUCCCCGAAAGCUAUUUAGGUAGCGCCUCGUGAAUUCAUCUCCGGGGGUAGAGCACUGUUUCGGCAAGGGGGUCAUCCCGACUUACCAACCCGAUGCAAACUGCGAAUACCGGAGAAUGUUAUCACGGGAGACACACGGCGGGUGCUAACGUCCGUCGUGAAGAGGGAAACAACCCAGACCGCCAGCUAAGGUCCCAAAGUCAUGGUUAAGUGGGAAACGAUGUGGGAAGGCCCAGACAGCCAGGAUGUUGGCUUAGAAGCAGCCAUCAUUUAAAGAAAGCGUAAUAGCUCACUGGUCGAGUCGGCCUGCGCGGAAGAUGUAACGGGGCUAAACCAUGCACCGAAGCUGCGGCAGCGACACUAUGUGUUGUUGGGUAGGGGAGCGUUCUGUAAGCCUGUGAAGGUGUGCUGUGAGGCAUGCUGGAGGUAUCAGAAGUGCGAAUGCUGACAUAAGUAACGAUAAAGCGGGUGAAAAGCCCGCUCGCCGGAAGACCAAGGGUUCCUGUCCAACGUUAAUCGGGGCAGGGUGAGUCGACCCCUAAGGCGAGGCCGAAAGGCGUAGUCGAUGGGAAACAGGUUAAUAUUCCUGUACUUGGUGUUACUGCGAAGGGGGGACGGAGAAGGCUAUGUUGGCCGGGCGACGGUUGUCCCGGUUUAAGCGUGUAGGCUGGUUUUCCAGGCAAAUCCGGAAAAUCAAGGCUGAGGCGUGAUGACGAGGCACUACGGUGCUGAAGCAACAAAUGCCCUGCUUCCAGGAAAAGCCUCUAAGCAUCAGGUAACAUCAAAUCGUACCCCAAACCGACACAGGUGGUCAGGUAGAGAAUACCAAGGCGCUUGAGAGAACUCGGGUGAAGGAACUAGGCAAAAUGGUGCCGUAACUUCGGGAGAAGGCACGCUGAUAUGUAGGUGAAGCGACUUGCUCGUGGAGCUGAAAUCAGUCGAAGAUACCAGCUGGCUGCAACUGUUUAUUAAAAACACAGCACUGUGCAAACACGAAAGUGGACGUAUACGGUGUGACGCCUGCCCGGUGCCGGAAGGUUAAUUGAUGGGGUCAGCGCAAGCGAAGCUCUUGAUCGAAGCCCCGGUAAACGGCGGCCGUAACUAUAACGGUCCUAAGGUAGCGAAAUUCCUUGUCGGGUAAGUUCCGACCUGCACGAAUGGCGUAAUGAUGGCCAGGCUGUCUCCACCCGAGACUCAGUGAAAUUGAACUCGCUGUGAAGAUGCAGUGUACCCGCGGCAAGACGGAAAGACCCCGUGAACCUUUACUAUAGCUUGACACUGAACAUUGAGCCUUGAUGUGUAGGAUAGGUGGGAGGCUUAGAAGUGUGGACGCCAGUCUGCAUGGAGCCGACCUUGAAAUACCACCCUUUAAUGUUUGAUGUUCUAACGUUGACCCGUGAUCCGGGUUGCGGACAGUGUCUGGUGGGUAGUUUGACUGGGGCGGUCUCCUCCUAAAGAGUAACGGAGGAGCACGAAGGUUGGCUAAUCCUGGUCGGACAUCAGGAGGUUAGUGCAAUGGCAUAAGCCAGCUUGACUGCGAGCGUGACGGCGCGAGCAGGUGCGAAAGCAGGUCAUAGUGAUCCGGUGGUUCUGAAUGGAAGGGCCAUCGCUCAACGGAUAAAAGGUACUCCGGGGAUAACAGGCUGAUACCGCCCAAGAGUUCAUAUCGACGGCGGUGUUUGGCACCUCGAUGUCGGCUCAUCACAUCCUGGGGCUGAAGUAGGUCCCAAGGGUAUGGCUGUUCGCCAUUUAAAGUGGUACGCGAGCUGGGUUUAGAACGUCGUGAGACAGUUCGGUCCCUAUCUGCCGUGGGCGCUGGAGAACUGAGGGGGGCUGCUCCUAGUACGAGAGGACCGGAGUGGACGCAUCACUGGUGUUCGGGUUGUCAUGCCAAUGGCACUGCCCGGUAGCUAAAUGCGGAAGAGAUAAGUGCUGAAAGCAUCUAAGCACGAAACUUGCCCCGAGAUGAGUUCUCCCUGACUCCUUGAGAGUCCUGAAGGAACGUUGAAGACGACGACGUUGAUAGGCCGGGUGUGUAAGCGCAGCGAUGCGUUGAGCUAACCGGUACUAAUGAACCGUGAGGCUUAACCUU